rnacentral:lncRNA from 10 species
AUAACAUGCAUGGAGCCAUCAUUCCCUUGGAUAACAAUGCCUUCUUCUGGAAUACUUCUGAAGGACCUACCUGAGGCUGUUUUACACUUUUUUGGCUGUCAGCAUCAUAUUCUGGCCACUGACUGUGAAAGCGAGAUGCAAUUUUUCCAUGAAAAUACUGGGCAGAGAAACGUGGAAGGACAACUUGCGUUAUUAUGUUGUUAUUAUUAUUACUAAAGUAUAAUUCAUAUAUCAUAAAAGUCACCAUUUUUAGGCAUACCAUUCAGUGUCUGUUACUAUAUUUAAAAGGUUUUGCAAUCAUCACCACUACCUAAUUCCAGAACAUUUUUGUAACGUUAAAAAGAAUGCCCGUACUUAUUGGCAGUCAUUCUCCAUUCUCCACUUCUUGCAAUCCAUAACUUUAUAGCAACCACUAAUCUACUUUCUCUAUAUAUAAAUUUAAUUGCUCUGGAAAUUUCACAUAUAUGGAAUAAUACAUUAUAUGGCCUUUUGCAUCUGGCUUCUUUCACUUAGCAUAAUGUUCUCAAGGUUCAUCCUUGAUGUGGCAUGUGUCAGUACUUCCAUCCUUUUCAUGGCCAAAUAAUAUUCCAUUUUUUAUGGACCAUAUACCACAUUUUUUAUCUAUUCAUCAAGUGAUCAUUGUUUGGGAUGUUUCCCCUUUCUAACUAUUAUGAAUAAUGCUCCUUUGAAUAUUUUUACAUGUUUUUGAGUGAGCAUCUGUUUUCAAUUCUCUUGGUUAUAUACCUAGGCAUGUAAUUGCUGCAUCCUAUACAACUUUAUAUUGAACUUUUUGAGGAACUAAUGAACUGUAUUCCAAGCUCAGUGGCCACACCAUAUUAUAUUCCUGCUAGCAAUUACAGGAAUUCCAUUUUCUCCACAAUCUCCCCAAUGUGUGUUGUCUUUUUUUGUUUGU